UAUUGUCCUCUUCUGGCCAUUAGCAUUUCUCUGAUGUUGUCUUCUGCAUCUUUCACACUGCGUUCUAAGUAGGAUUUUCGUUGCUGAAGUUAUUUGAUCUUU